GGCUGUCGUCAGCUCGUGUUGUGAAAUGUUGGGUUAAGUCCCGCAACGAGCGCAACCCUUAUCCUUGUUUGCCAGCGAGUCAUGUCGGGAACUCCAGGGAGACUGCCGGUGAUAAACCGGAGGAAGGUGGGGACGACGUCAAGUCAUCAUGGCCCUUACGAGUAGGGCUACACACGUGCUACAAUGGCGCAUACAGAGGGCAGCAAGCUAGCGAUAGUGAGCGAAUCCNNAAAAGUGCGUCGUAGUCCGGAUUGGAGUCUGCAACUCGACUCCAUGAAGUCGGAAUCGCUAGUAAUCGUGAAUCAGAAUGUCAC
rnacentral:rRNA from 1 species